rnacentral:rRNA from 1 species
ACGGGAGGCAGCAGUGAGGAAUAUUGGUCAAUGGACGAGAGUCUGAACCAGCCAAGUAGCGUGCAGGAUGACGGCCCUCCGGGUUGUAAACUGCUUUUAGUUGGGAAUAAAAGAGGGGACGUGUCCCCUAUUGUAUGUACCAUCAGAAAAAGGACCGGCUAAUUCCGUGCCAGCAGCCGCGGUAAUACGGAAGGUCCGGGCGUUAUCCGGAUUUAUUGGGUUUAAAGGGUGCGCAGGCGGAGAUGCAAGCCAGCCGUAAAAUCGUGGGGCUCAACCCCAUUCAGCGGUUGGAACUUCAUCCCUUGAUUGCGGCAGAGGGAGGUGGAACUCGUGGUGUAGCGGUGAAAUGCAUAGAUAUCACGAAGAACUCCGAUUGCGAAGGCAGCCUCCUGGACCGUAAAUGACGCUCAUGCACGAAGGCGCGGGUAUCAAACAGGAUUAGAUACCCUGGUA